rnacentral:rRNA from 1 species
GAUGAACGCUGGCGGCAUGCUUAACACAUGCAAGUUGAACGAAGAUUAUAAUUCUUUUGAAUUAUAAAAUUAGUAGCGGACGGGUGAGUAACGCGUAAGAAUCUACCUUUAGGAAAAGAAUAACAAUUGGAAACGGUUGCUAAUACUUUAUAUGCUGAGAAGUUAAAUGGGUUACCGCCUAAAGAUGAGCUUGCGUCUGAUUAGCUAGUUGGUAAGGUAAAAGCUUACCAAGGCGAUUAUCAGUAGUUGGUCUGAGAGGAUGAUCAGCCACACUGGGACUGAGACACGGCCCAG